AGACUUUCCCAUGGUGGUUAAAUAUCUUAAUCUCAUUGACAGAGACUAAAGCAAAAGCUAUGGAGGUGCAAAGUUAAACUAGGCUACAAAAUCUCUGCGAUGCCAAACCACUAUGUUGGUAGCCUAUAAAGAUGUGAUUUGAGAGACCUCACCUCUUCUUCUCCGAGUCGACGAUUCAUGCCAAAACCAAUGUGAAGUCUUGGCCUGCUAGCUAAGAUUUUGGAAAUGGUGGUAACAGAUCUAUCAUCAUGUCAUGGAAAACGUUCCUGAAAAAUGGUAUGAGAAGGGCUCCACAUCUCACUGUAGAACAUGAUUUGUAUGAAUCAUGCUGAAGGUUGACCUUUAUUUUCUCAUGUUUCAGGCAAUCCAGAGAACCAUAUGUGGUUUUUCAGACCGACAAGGUUG
rnacentral:lncRNA from 1 species